UACGUAGGGUGCAAGCGUUAAUCGGAAUUACUGGGCGUAAAGCGUGCGCAGGCGGUUAUGUAAGACAGGGGUGAAAUCCCCGGGCUUAACCUGGGAAUGGCACUUGAAACUACGGGACUGGAGUAUGGCAGAGGGAGGUGGAAUUCCACGUGUAGCGGUGAAAUGCGUAGAGAUGUGGAGGAACACCGAUGGCGAAGGCAGCCUCCUGGGCCAAUACUGACGCUCAUGCACAAAAGCGUGGGGAGCAAACAGG
rnacentral:rRNA from 1 species